ACGCUCGACACCUACGGGAGCAGCAGUCGGGAAUAUUGCGCAAUGGAGGAAACUCUGACGCAGUGACGCCGCGUGCAGGAAGAAGGUUUUCGGAUUGUAAACUGCUUUAGACAGGGAAGAAGAAGUGACAGUACCUGUAGAAUAAGCUCCGGCUAACUACGUCNCNGAGCCGCGGUAAUCUGAGCGGGCUGGCAAGGC
rnacentral:rRNA from 1 species